CCUACUGUGGCAGUGGUUGGUGAAAGAUUGUGGCUGGAAUCUGAUCAACAGGUCCAGAGGGUCUCCAAAUGGAAUAUCAGAUGCUCAGGUGGGAAUUGCACACUGGGGUCUGGUAUCCACUACUUUCUCCCUGGCCCAGUCUGGUGGAGUUUCCUCUGCCUUAUUAGCAUUGCACUGAUUCAGCUGACUGUGUGAAGUGCUGAGUGCUAAUCUCUGGGGUAAAUGAGGAGGCAAACGUGGAUCCCAGCCUUCUCAGUUUGUGUGCUGACUGAAAACAGGAAGAUCAUACGUGAGCAAGGACCACAUUGCUCACUGCGUCACGUUUGAUAUGCUGUCUGACCUGCUGAGAAUCACCAGCAUUGUUUGACUGCAGAUUUCCGUUACUUGUGUUCUUUUCUGGUCUCCACCUCCUUGGUUCUACAAUUUCUGAGGAAUGAAAAAGUCUCACAAGCAAGAUGCACUCACUCACGUAUCACAUCUUCAGUUAUCACAACUGCAUCAUUCAGCACCAGCAGACAAGUAAAAACAAACACACAUAUCAGCCAAGUCCCUACAGCACAAGUAUUCAUUUCAUUUUCGAAUUAAACAGGAUUACCACUAUUCUUAAAGGAAUGUUGCUUCUUUAAUGAUUAACAUGUACCUGAAUUGUGCGCACCAUAAUCACUAGAAAGAGGUACAAACCUGUUAACUCUGAGCUAAAGCUGAAUGCAACUGGCUUUUAAACUUUUAAACUGCAUUUCCUUUGAUGCACAAUCCGUUAUUCCCUUGCACCAGUCCCACCCAGAGUGCCCCGCCUGUGUCUGGGUACAAUAAACAUACACCACAUCAAGCUCUGACUUCUGACAGCACUGUUCUUUAAGCUCAAAAGAAUAGGGAAACCACAGAGGACAAAAACAACAUCAACACAGAUCUCCUUGGGGAGGUUCUGGCAUUUCCACUAAAAAUGCUCCAACAAACAAACAGGAGAUUCCCAAAGUUAACGGUGAUUCUACACACUCAAUUUAACAAUGAGGGUUCAAACAAAUGGAAGUAAGCAGCACCUGUUCACCCCCCUCCCUGCCACUAGUAAACCCUCUACCACAGCACUUCCUGAGUACCCAACAAAGCUUGCAUCCACGUAAAAUCUUAGAGAUUUUGGAUCAGAAAUAUCCCAGCUCAGUAAUACGCCAUUUCUCCCACUUCCCACUGUCCUAUAAUCUACCCAUGUUACCAAUGGCAAACCACUUCUGUAGAAAAACUUGCCAAAAACUAUCAUGGUCCACCAUGACCACCCAAAUACCAGCCCACCAUGACUCUAACCUUUCCUAUCAGAAUCACUGAUAAUAAUCUCCUGUGUCUUUCAUGCCUCUUGUGCCCUGGUAAGUGUCCACAUUCUACCUACAAACUCACAGACCCUCUUCCAUCCUGUCAUUGUCCACUGUGUCUCCCUCCCUCCAUUCACAAGCCAUCCUGUCAUUUACUGGCCCCAGCGCUCUAAUCCAUCAACGUUGUCACCAUUACCACCUCCAGCUUCCGUUAAGUGCUUUCACUUCCCAGGGUAUCCUUGCCCUCUUGCAGCCUGCAAUCACUCACCUCUGGCCCCGAUCCAGCCCCACCCUAAUCACUAAGGCUCCUACCAUAUCCCGUAAUCGCAGCCCUUACCCUCAUUCCCUGGGCACUCCCAGGCAGCUCAUUCCACUAACACUCAAACCUGGCUCCCAGGAUACACCCAAUACCACUCCACCCAUCCUUUGUGACAAGCUGGUCUCUCAAUAUUCCCUAAUGCUCACAUUCCACCCAAUCUGCAAUCUUCACUGCUACCUAAAACCCACUGCCAAUUCAGUAAACCCCUAUAAUCUAAUUAACCAUCACCCUUUCCCACCAAGUCCUGUCAUCUUUAACUCAUCCCAACCCCAA